CACGUAGGGCGCAAGCGUUGUCCGGAAUUAUUGGGCGUAAAGAGCUCGUAGGCGGUCUGUUGCGUCCGCUGUGAAAACUCGGGGCUUAACCCCGAGCCUGCAGUGGAUACGGGCAGACUAGAGGUAGGUAGGGGAGAAUGGAAUUCCCGGUGUAGCGGUGAAAUGCGCAGAUAUCGGGAGGAACACCGGUGGCGAAGGCGGGUCUCUGGGCCGAUACUGACACUGAGGAGCGAAAGCGUGGGGAGCGAACAGG
rnacentral:rRNA from 1 species